AGAUAACAUAUUUGGUAUAGCCAGUCUAACAUGGGCCUUUAACAUGAUAAUGUAAAAAAUUCAUUCUAGGUAUAUUCAAUAUAGAGAGUGGAGUGAAAGACAUGAAUUAAGAUAACAUAUCAUGAUUUUAUUAAUCCUUAGUGGUAGGUAGUACAAUGAAAAGAGUUUAAAAUAUUGCACUGGCAAAAAAAUGUUACACUUGUAAAUAUUUCGUCACGUUAACAGGCUAUUAGACUUUGGUUAAACCCCAUUUAUUUUUGAGCAACAAAAGAAUUUUCAAAGCGUUCAUAACUUCUGGCCUUUAACUUUAACUAACGAAAUUGUUAUACCAUUUUAAGACUUUAAGUCUGUUCUUUGUCCAGUUUUUUAUCCAGAACAAAAUUGUCAUUAUAAUUUUAACACAGUUCCAAGAUAUUAAGAAAAUGGUUCUGGUCUGUAUGUCUACGUUAGAACUUGUCCAAAAAAUAUAAGACUUACCGCCAAUCUGCUGCCAAGACAUGUGCAAUGUUUUCAUUGAACUUAAAGUGAAAACAGGUACGUAUUGAGUAAUUUGAAAAUAAAUUAUGUGUGAGCAAAUACUUCUAGAGGGCCUGAGAUAUUUCAAACAAAGAUAUACUUAAAUAUCACCAAGAUAAGAAGGUUGUGUCAAUAUUCUGACGUAUUAAUUUAGCCUUUAUAAUGAUAUGAAUUUGAUACAUUUGUUGUAAAUAUCAAGCAAUUAUCUUGAACUGAUAAGUGUUUCAAUUGCUAUUGUUAUGGUCGUAUUUUACGGAUUACUGUUCUUGACAUGCUCUACGCGACUACAGUCGUGGUCUUUUGUUCGGCUUUGCCAAAGCAAUCACGUAGAAAUGUUCACCACACGAGAGCAUUUACAUAAACUUCUACAAAAAAGUUGCAUAAAGGUAAUUGAUCCGUAAUGGCCCUCGGCAAUUUCCGUGUGAUUACGUAUUUUCAUUAUACAAUUCGGAUGUCUUCGGUCGUAAAUGUAGCUAAACGCGCACGUGUCUUUCCGUAUAAACCGGAAAAUGCCGAAAUCGCGCACGGAGUAUAAGUAAUUCCCGACUGACAUAACGGUUCUGCGACCUUAAUACACUCUGGCAUACCAGAAGUCUACCAUGGUUCAAUAGCUGAACGACUCGAGAUUUUGACGAUUCUGUGAUGGUGAGAAUGCUUUGGUAAUACCAUCAACGGUUCUCCACUUACUUGUAUCACCAAAACCGCCGGAAUCAGAAAAUAAUAGAACCAUGUAUCUUCCGAAAAAUGACCCCUCCCUUAUGUGCCAAAACCUCCUUAUAGAAGCAUUCUCCUCGAAAAAAUAGAGGCUUACAGAAAUAGUAGUCGCGUGUAAGACCUCUUGGAAAUAGAAAAAUGCUUGCAGUUUUAAUUAACGACCGCAUUUAAGAUCAUCCUCGAAUAAAUAGAAGUUUGCAAUCCCAGGCAAAUAAGUACAUAUCAUAAUAAUGGCGCACCUUUCUGACGUUUAUCAUUAUUUACCACAACAAUCCUAUGACAAAUAACAACUACAGUUUGUUACAAAGUUCAUCCGUACAACAUCUGCCUCACUCGUUUUUUCAUACCUUAUAACGUGUGCUAAAAACUAUCAGCUUAGUGAAGGAGAAACCUGAUUUGUUUCAAAUAUUUUAUAAUAUGCUCAUUUAUAGUUCUAACAGCUUAAUAUAAUCUGAAAAAAAACAUACGACUAUGUUUCCCCGUUAAUGGCCCUAGCCGCAUUCCGUAAACAUAGAAAUGUGGAAAUACGCAGCAUUUUGAAAGGACUGAUAAAUUCUUUCAAAAUAUCGCACAUAGGACAAAGUGCCCAGUUCCUAUUUUGCUGUUGUUCUUCACACAUAGAGGAGUGCAGAUAACUAAGGACAGGUAAGUGUGACCACCACGGAAGGUGACAGAUGCAUUACGAAGAGGUGAGUUCAUAUUUUUGAUAUUUUCGUAUUUCAAAAUAUUUGUGUAAUAACAUAUUUACGUUUUAGCUGACAAAUCAGUAA
rnacentral:lncRNA from 1 species